AACGAUAGAAGUGGAAUUUGAAAUGUUUACCAAGAUGGCGGCCGACCUUCACAGUGAACUUGGAAUGCUGACAGCGCUCCAGUGGGCGUUUUGUGAACUACGAGAGUUACGAGACAUGUUUCUAUUCUUUGUAGGUUAUGUUGUAAUUUUAGCGGAAAAUAAUGGUUGUGUUUACUUAUAAUCAAUAAUAAUUAUUAGUUUGCAAGUUAUAUGAAUAUUUUAGCUACAAAAGCCAAAGUUUCAAAAUAAAAUUAUUUUCCAAAAUCGAUUUGAGCUAGACUAUAUAGCUGUAUGAUAACAUAAAAUAAUGACGAAGAUUGAUGUUAUUCUUUACUGUACCGUACCAGGUUCCAGAAAACAUGCAGUCUGUAAUCUACCCCCAUGUCAGUGUAGAGAGGCCUGUUCAUGAAGACACAAAAUCAUUCGACGACACCAAAACAUAUUACACAGUGUAGAUGGACGGAUAGAAAGCGUGAACAUCAAAAGCCAUCGUGUGUUACUCAGUUUCCAUUCUGCAUCUAACAAUAGGAACCAAGCAUCCAAAAUCAUAACUUUAUUAUUAUAUAGUCCAGACAAUGAAUGCUCAAAAGAGGGUAUAGAGAGAAAAGUUUGGAAGACUAUAUUUGACCCCGCAAUUUUGUUUUGGGUAUUAAGGAGGUAAAAAUAUCCCCUCCCUUCCCCUUGUGAUAAGGGGGUGGGGUGGUUCAAAGGUACCAGUUUUUGGUUUCUCGCAUAUAACUCGAAAACUAUGUAUCUUACGGACAUAACUGUUACAUACAAAAGUAUUAUAUAAUUCGUUUUCAGGAUGGACACGUUAAGCCGUCGGUCCCGGCUGCCUAAAAAGCAGUCGUUAGGUCAUGUCAGAGGCCCUGAAAUUGAUCAGCGACCUGAAAACUCUGACACCAGACCUGAGCCAGCCAGGUCACUCGAAUAUUAUUAUUAUUAUAUAAUUUUUAUAAUUUCCUACAAUAUUCAUCUCACAACUUUUCUAGUUUUCGAGAUAUCCGCUCUUAAAUGUGUGACAUUUUUGAAAAAAACACGUUCGCCUCCAAUUUUUUUCUAUUUCUACUCUUAUAACUUUUUAAAAAUUGAUGGGAAAAAUCAAUGCAGAUUAUGAGCUCAUAGAGCCUCUUUCAGGAAUUAUAACUCUCCAACAAUGCAUCGUAAAAAUCAAUGCUUAUCGUAGGUUUGUAGAGCAUUAAAUUCUCUUUGAAAUGGUGCAUUAUUUCACUAUUCAAAGUUUCUGUUUCAUUGUUAUAGCAACUUUAAUGUAGGGGAUGGAAUUUCCAAUGCUGCAACAAUUAUUCAUUUGGCAAUUAAAUUUGAAGCGGGUGUCUGUGACACAAUUUUUGACGUAGCAGCUUAAUUUUGACUAGUUAGAAGAUUAACAUAGCAAAAGUGCACAUCUUUAUCCCCUCUGUUGAAGGUUUGGAACCGCUGAGUUGACACUAGUUGCAAUAUUGAAAAUGUUGCUACAUUGCACUAUCAUUUUUGAUCAUUUGUUACAUCACACAACUAUUAUAUGAAUACUUUGUAUUGUUGUAACCAAAUUGAAUCAAUUGACAAUUCCUUUUUUACUGCUUAUUCAAAUUUACUAUUUUGUUAUUUUUGAUUUUCAUUAAACGUCUUUUUUCCUACUUAGUGCAGUCAUCAUAACUUUUAAGGCCAUUUGUAAAGUGCCACUUAUAUCAAUAAAUGCAAUCAUUUGUUAUUGUUACAUUGUCUUACAAUUUCUUGGCGUCUACCUUGCUACCAGGUAUUUAGUAGUUUUACUCAUAAGUUUUAUGUGAGUUUGGGUAAAGGUAUUGAUGAACAACAUCAGCCUUCUAUUAAUUAUAUUUAUUAUUUAACAUACAUUUCAUUCAACUUAGUAUACAGUCCACUUGAAGUCCCUCAUACCAAACACAUCAGAUACAUAGUUUUCGAGUUAUAUGUGAGAAACCAAAAAAUUUUAUCUUUAAAACACCCCCACCCCCUUAGCACAAGGGGUGGGGGGAGACUUUUGAUAUGUUUACCCCCUUACCACCCAAAACAGAACUGCGGGGCCAAAAAUUGUCUUCCAAACUUUUCCCCUCUAUAACCUUUCCUUGACUGCACUGUAUAUCAUCCAGUUAAUUUUGAUAUCACAUUAAUUAAAAAGCUUCCCUCAUAGUAUAAUUUUUCAAUAUUUUACCAAUUUUAUAAUACACAAGAAAUCAAUAUAUUACCGAGGUUGUCAAAGAUCUGAAUUUUCAAUGUGUUUUGAUGUAAAUUAUUGCAAAAAACUAAUAUCAUGGUUAGCUAUGCAUAAAGAGGCAUGAUAGCAUGAUGGUCAUUCUUUACUGAAUCGAAAUAAGCUGUUAUAACUUUUUCUACUAUUAAUUUGGUUUUCAAUAAACUAGUUAUGAUCAGAUGCCUCAUUACUAAAUGCAAAAUUCAUGUCGGUUAUGUAGCUUUUCUGCAAUAAACUAGAAUUACUCAAUAAU
rnacentral:lncRNA from 1 species